GUUGCCUUAAGUGGAAAAACUGCUAAAACUUUAAGCAGGACACUGGGACUCCGGUCCAGCCGUGGUGUCUGUUCUUCUUUCCAGGCUCUGAUAGAAGCACUCACAAACACAAACAGCUAAAGGUCACCAGCAAGCAGUGGGAGAGUGAGUUUUGCCUGAUCCAUCUGUGCUGGGAUAAUCCAGAGUUGGCCGUGAAUAUGUUUAAGGGCCUACACGCUACAGCAGUAAUUCUUUUUCACCUGCCAUCCACAGCAGUCAAACGUGUUAUUCUUGUACAUUCUCCGGAGAAGAGUGUUAGGCAUGUGUGUCUACAGAUUGGGCACUCAAUAAGUGAGACAGAAAAGCAAGCUUCAAAUGUAAGUGUUUUUAAUUCCCCGUUAAAACCUUGAGAAAAUAAGCAAGCAAGUGCAUGGAUGUGGCCCGGGAUGGAAACUAUUUUCAAGACUGACUUGCUCACAGGAUUUGCUGCAAAAAGCAGAACUGUAAAGAAGAAGGAACCUUGGAGAUCAUCUGAGACCAACCUUCUGGAUACAGAGUUUCGGGCAAUUCUUCCUUCACCUCAUUUGCAAUGUGGUGCUAUCUCUACAAGUCUGGUAGAAGAACCUCGAAAACAGUGAUUGGAAAUGAAGCACUUACGUUUAUAAAACACGGCUUUAAAAAACACGUGAG